rnacentral:rRNA from 1 species
CAGUCGCCGCGGGAAUACGUAGGUGGCAAGCGUUGUCCGGAAUUAUUGGGCGUAAAGGGCUCGCAGGCGGUUUCUUAAGUCUGAUGUGAAAGCCCCCGGCUCAACCGGGGAGGGUCAUUGGAAACUGGGAAACUUGAGUGCAGAAGAGGAGAGUGGAAUUCCACGUGUGGCGGUGAAAUGCGUAAAGAUGUGGAGGAACACCAGUGGCGAAGGCGACUCUCUGGUCUGUAACUGACGCUGAGGAGCGAAAGCGUGGGGAGCAAACAGGAUUAGAUACCCCGGUAGUCCCUGUCUCUUAUAC